GAUGAACGCUGGCGGCGUGCUUAACACAUGCAAGUCGAACGAUGAAGCCCAGCUUGCUGGGUGGAUUAGUGGCGAACGGGUGAGUAACACGUGAGUAACCUGCCCUUGACUCUGGGAUAAGCCUGGGAAACUGUGUCUAAUACUGGAUAUGACUUCUCAUCGCAUGGUGGGGGGUGGAAAGAUUUAUUGGUCUUGGAUGGACUCGCGGCCUAUCAGCUUGUGGGUGAGGUAAUGGCUCACCAAGGCGACGACGGGUAGCCGGCCUGAGAGGGUGACCGGCACAACGGGGCCUGAGACACGGCCCAGACUCCUACGGGAGGCAGCAGUGGGGAAUAUUGCAAAAUGGGCGCAAGCCUGAUGCAGCGACGCCGCGGGAGGGAUGACGGCCUUCGGGUUGUAACCCUCUUUCAGUAGGGAAGAAGCGAGAGUGACGGUACCUGCAGAAGAAGCGCCGGCUAACUACGU
rnacentral:rRNA from 1 species